rnacentral:rRNA from 1 species
UACGUAGGGUGCAAGCGUUGUCCGGAAUUAUUGGGCGUAAAGAGCUCGUAGGCGGUCUGUCGCGUCGGCUGUGAAAACUCGAGGCUCAACCUCGAGCUGUCGGUGGAAACCGUGUGGCUAGAGUCCGGAAGAGGAGAGUGGAAUUCCCGGUGUAGCGGUGAAAUGCGCAGAUAUCGGGAAGAACACCCGUGGCGAAGGCGGCUCUCUGGGACGGUACUGACGCUGAGACGCGAAAGCGUGGGGAGCGAACAGG